rnacentral:rRNA from 1 species
UACGUAGGGGGCGAGCGUUGUCCGGAAUUAUUGGGCGUAAAGAGCGUGUAGGCGGUUCGGUAAGUCUGCCGUGAAAUCCUGGGGCUCAACCCCGGGCGUGCGGUGGAUACUGCCGGGCUAGAGGGUGGUAGAGGCGAGUGGAAUUCCCGGUGUAGCGGUGAAAUGCGCAGAUAUCAGGAGGAACACCGGUGGCGAAGGCGGAUCUCUGGGCCUUACCUGACGCUGAGGCGCGAAAGCUAGGGGAGCAAACAGG